GAGAAAGAUUCACUUUUAGCAGAUUUGAUUUCUCUUCUUUAUUCUAUGUUGAUGUUAUGCUCAUUUCUGGUUUAUUAAUACUGUUUAUGUUUGAUCUUCUCAUCUCCAACAGUGGUAUCAGAGCUCCUUCUUCCUAUGGGUCCUGUGAUUCUUGUUUUUGAGUGAGGUGUUUUCUCUAUUUUUUUGAAAGAGCUUUCUUUGGGUGAUCUCUAAAAAAUGUCUGCAAGUGUUUCCUCCAUUUUAGCUCCUGUGUUCACGGGGGAAAAUUAUGAUUUCUGGGCUGUCAAAAUGACAGCAUUCUUGAAGGCUCAUGAUCUGUGGGAGGUGGUUUCUACUGGGAGAGAACCUGCUCCUUUGCCUCCAGAUCCUACAUUGGCACAAAUCAAGUAUCAUAGUGAUGAAUGUGCCAAG
rnacentral:misc_RNA from 1 species